rnacentral:rRNA from 1 species
CUUUUUGAGUAUAAUUUAAAGUCUGACCUGCCCACUGAAAUUUUUAAAUGGCCGCGGUAUAUUGACCGUGCAAAGGUAGCAUAAUCAUUUGUUUCUUAAUUGGAAGCUGGAAUGAAGGGUCGAAUAAGAAAAUAACUGUCUCUAUUUAAUUUUAUUAGAAUUUUAUUUUUAAGUAAAAAAGCUUAAAUAUUUUUUGAAGACGAGAAGACCCUAUAGAGUUUUAUAAUUAAAUAUUUAGAUGGUUUAGGAUUUAUAUAAUUUAAUUAUUUAUAUUAUUAAAUUGGGGUGAUUGAAAAAUUAAAUAAACUUUUUUUUUAUUUUACCAUUUACCCAUGAUUGAUUGAUCCUUAAAAAGAUUAUAAGAAUAAAUUACCUUAGGGAUAACAGCGUUAUUUUUUUUUAGAGUUCAAAUCAAAAAAAAAGAUUGCGACCUCGAUGUUGGAUUAAAAUUUAUAUUUGGBGUAGAGGCUAAA